rnacentral:rRNA from 1 species
UACGUAGGGCGCAAGCGUUGUCCGGAAUUAUUGGGCGUAAAGAGCUCGUAGGCGGCUUGUCGCGUCGACUGUGAAAAUCCGGGGCUCAACCCCGGACUUGCAGUGGGUACGGGCAGACUAGAGUGUGGUAGGGGAGACUGGAAUUCCUGGUGUAGCGGUGAAAUGCGCAGAUAUCAGGAGGAACACCGGUGGCGAAGGCGGAUCUCUGGGCCGAUACUGACGCUGAGGAGCGAAAGCGUGGGGAGCGAACAGG